CUUUCCAUAGUGGAGCCUGGGCUACUCUGAAAUAGAAGCACCUCUCCUUCCUUUGGACCCCUGGAGCACUGUGUUCUACAGUUCUUAGCUCUUUUUCUGUGUGCAUUAUUUGUAUGUCUUAUCCUUGGUGGUCAACCACUUCAAGGUGAGAGACUGGGGUGGUGGUUCCUUUUUUUUAUUUUUUAAUCUCCCCUGCCCCAUCUUUCUCUUUCCCACUUCCUAUGUUGACUGACAAAAUCUUCGUAUUUCCCAGAGUACCAGAGUUUUUCUGUGAGAGGCUAGGUCAGUGUUUCUCCCCAAGCAGAGGCUAAGAAGUACCUGAUGCAGUCAUUUAUUUUCAGAAUGUGUGUAGCUUGCCUCCAGCGGAUUGCCUGGGAAGCUGGAGAUGUGCUUCAGGGGAAAGGUGGUCCAUCCACUUUUCCUGAACAGGCUGUGCAUGCAGCCUUGACAUAGCCAACUCUGCAGGAGCAUGAAAGAACUGAAGAUACAGUAUUCGACUUCCAGUAUUUCUAAUCACUUUAGAGACAGGAUGACGAUUGGUUUAGAAGAGCCAGGGGAUGACUAAGGAGCACAUGUAAAACAAUAAUGUUCAGUAUAGACUUUAGUUUCUGAUUUGAAACAUUUUCUAAAAAAUCAUGUAUCUUUAAAAAAUUGGAAGCAGCUCAGUGUUUGCUGGAGAUGAGGCAUAGAGUGUGGUGGAAGGGAGGGAUGACAAAGGGGCAGGCAGAGACUUUGAGGGAUGAGGGGUGUGCACAUCACCUUGCUGGUGGGGACUGUUUCAUGGUUGGAUACAUGUGUGAAAGCAUAUCAAAUUGCAUGCUUUAAAUAUGUGCAGUUUCCUGUGUAUCAAGUAUACCUCAAUAAAGUAGUUAAAAAUGGUAUACCUUUAUUAUGCUGAAAGAAGGGAAAAUUUGGAAAGGAGAUGUUUUUCUGUAGAAGAUAGCUUCUAGAAAGGAAAAUCAAACACAGUCUAAGUUAUUCUCUGUUUUGUUCUCCUCCCUCCACAGAUGUCUUGUUGUUUUGGGUCCUCUUAUCUAAAAUUUCACAAUAUGUGAAAGUAGCCUGAACUCUAAAGGUAGUAGUUGUGGUUUUGGGAAACUGUGUGUUCGUACUGCCUCUGUAAAUGGAACACAAGCCUCUCCUACCCUCUGGGGAGCUUGUCACUUAGUACAGUUUUUUAGGAACUCCUAAGAAGUUUAAGUUCUGGCCACAGGUCCCAGAGUUAAGGAUGUUGUCAACUCUGCUACUCAUUUGAAAAAUGUCUUGUGGAACCUAUAGCCGCAGAAAGAGCUUUGUUUCUCUGGGUGAAAACAACAUACAUUAUCAUUUCUAAUAACUUUAAUGGAUGCUGCUGCUUUCUUCUUUUUGGCCCCCAAGAUACUCAGAGAUAAACUUGAAACUCAACUAUAGGUGGGGGGAGGGGGAAGGGAUAGCUUUAGGAAAUAUACCUAAUGCUAAAUGACGAGUUAAUGGGUGUAGCACACCAGCAUGGCACAUGUAUACAUAUGUAACUAACCUGCACAUUGUGCACAUGUACCCUAAAACUUAAAGUAUUAUGAUAAUAAUAAAAAAAAAAGAAACUCAA
rnacentral:lncRNA from 1 species